CAUUGGCAAUGGCUAAGAAUGAACGACCUAGAAUUAUAGGAUUCUGAUUUAGCUUUUAGGAUGGUUCCAUAUCAAGUAUGAGGAAGUUUACUAAAAAAAUUCUAAGUAAGACAUCCUCAAUCGGAUCACGCGGUGUCUUUACUGUCUAUCAGCUAGUUGCAAAAUAACCAAUGUGGGUUUCAGUUCUCCUAUCUCAAAUUUUUUGUAGACCA
rnacentral:lncRNA from 1 species